CACGUAGGCACCAAGCGUUAUCCGGAUUUAUUGGGCGUAAAGAGCUCGUAGGCGGUUCAGUCAGUCGGGUGUGAAAACUUGAGGCUUAACCUCAAGAGGUCACUCGAUACUGCUGUGACUAGAGUGCGGUAGGGGAGCGGGGAAUUCCUGGUGUAGCGGUGAAAUGCGCAGAUAUCAGGAGGAACACCAGUGGCGAAGGCGCCGCUCUGGGCCGUAACUGACGCUGAGGAGCGAAAGCAUGGGUAGCAAACAGG
rnacentral:rRNA from 1 species